rnacentral:lncRNA from 1 species
AGAGAAUUUAAAAACGAUGGCAAAGCUGACCAAGAGCCAGCUCCCCCCCGCCCCCGCUUUUCUUGGCCUGCUAGUCUAAGCAAUGCCAGUGAUAAAAUACCUUUUCCCCCUCAAAUCUCUCGUGGUCUAGUUUCCGUAUAUUUGCUGUGAAGCCUGUUGAGGCAGUCGUUAGCUUUGAUAAGCAUGGUCUUUCAGUUCACAGGGAGGCUGUGUUAUUGCACUGGGCUCCACACCCGUGGAUGAAGCUGUACACAUUAGUUGCGAAGGAACGUUCCCGAUGAAUUGGCCCUGGAGCUCGCCAUCUCCAGCCCCUGGUUCUCCUGUGCCAAACAGUAGCUUGAGUCAGGAGUCAUAGCACAGUGGUUGUCUUUUUGGGUGACCACUGGAGGUUUCGUUGGUGUUUAAAACAAUUCGGGGUGUAAUAUUGUUGCUGGGUACCUGCAGAUUUUAGUUCAUACAUGAAAUAUGUUGUCACUAGUUUCCCAGAUGGAAGAUAGACACCCAGCAGCGAAGUUUGAGAAUUCUAAUUGUUCCGUGUCCUCACCAGCACCUGGCAUUUCUUUUUAGAAAGUGAAAAUUUGGGAGUUCCCAUUGUGGCACAGCGGAAAUUAAUCUGACUAGGAACCAUGAGGUUGCGGGUUCGAUCCCUGGCCUUGCUCAGUGGGUUAAGGAUCCAUUGCUGUGAGCUGUGGUGUAGGUCUCAGAUGCGGCUCAGAUCCCGCGUUGCUGUGGCUGUGGUGUAGGCUGGCGGCUACAGCUCUGAUUAGACCCCUAGCCUGGGAACCACCAUAUGCCGUGAGAGCUGCCCAAGAAAUGGCAAAAAGACAAAAACAAAACAAACAAACAAAAUGCAGUAUGCUUGUGUACACACACCAGUUACUUCAUGUGCAGUAAAGGAAUGGAGGAGGAGAAAAUGAAAGAAUAGAGAAAAAUGACCCUGUGGCCGUCGGGAUGGGUGGGGCCAAAUUGUGGUUUUCGAAUCGAGAAUGUCUUCCUGGUCUGGAGGAACCAGAUUCUGCAGGAAAGAGCAGGUUCUCCUGUCGGCCGCUGGAGCACAUCAGCUGUAUCUUCAUCCUGCAGUUCCAGCUGGGCGGGUGUGUCUGUUUCAUCGACUGGCUGCCCAUCAAGUCAGAAUCUGAUCUGCCUCAUUGACAAACCCUGUCAUUCACAAUAGGCUUUCAUUAGUGUCCUAAGUGGUGUAUGUCUCUUGAUCUUAAAUGCCGCAGAACCAUCCUGCCCCGCCACCUUCACGUUAAUAUGAUUGUUGUUCUCAGCCCCGACUGCUUCCUUGGGCUCCGUCAGCCAAGGUGAGCACCGAAUGAGCACACAGGCAGCACCCCUAGCAUCUCCUGUCUGAUCACAUCUCUUCUUCUGCAUCCCUUUUCCACUUUUAAGUGGAUUACAUUGGGCUCCCCCAGAUAAUCCAGGAUAAUUUCCCCCUUCUGAAGUCUGUGGAUUAGCAACCUUAAUUCCAUCCCCAGUUUAAAUUCCCCUUUGUCGUGUAAGGUAACACCUUCACAGGCUCUUGGGAUCAGGAUGUGGACAUCUUUGGGGCCAUUACUCUGCCUACUGCAGGCUCCUUCUGUAUUUCCCUUGUACUCUGAUCUGUACUGAGUUGUGUAGAAGUUACCUGUUUACAGCAGUUCUGGUUGUGGCUCAGCAGGUUAAGAACCCGACAUAGUGUCUGUGAGGAUGUGGAUUCGAUCCCUGGCCUCGCUCAGUGGAUCUGGUGUUGCUGCAAGCUCUGGUGAAGGUCGCAGAUGCGGCUCAGAUCUUGUGUGGCUGUAACUCUGGUGUCAGCCAGCAGCUGCAGCUCGGAUUUGACCCCUGACCUGGGAACUUGCAUAUGCCGCAGGCAAGGCCCUAAAGAGACACACACACAAAAAGUUGUAUUUUGAAUAUCUCUGCCUAAUGUGGUCAGAUUGUCACUCCCCGCACCUAUCUGGCUGCCCGGCCUCCUUGUCACGCCCCGGGAUGAUGUCCACACGCAGGCCUCCUCUCGUGGCUGCCGCCUUCUCUGCUCCCUGUCCCGGAAGCCUCCCGCCCAGCACCGAGUCUGGGCCCUGGAGGACCGAAGUGCUGAGGGGAUGGCAGAGCCCGGAGCCUGUGGCCGGCUUGCCUGCCGUGUGCAUCAACACAGGGAGCGAGUUUUCUAGGGCUGAGCAGCUUUCCGCAGAGGAAACCAGGCGAUUUUGUUUGUUUUCCUCACAUGAAAAGGGCGUAUGUCUCUUCUGUAAUAGGCCUGUUAUUUGUGUGUGCAGAGUACCGACUGGGACUAGAGUGCUGGCCUCCCCUCAGCAGAGCUCAGUGAUACGCUCCGUGCCGUGCCAUGCCACAGGCAGAAGAGUCUCCUGGCACACCGGGAACCCUGAGAGCUUUCUCCUGUAGACUGAGGACAUUUAACUGGACACAGGAUCAGCCUCCAGACUGGUGUUUGAGAGCACCUCAGACCUUGUGGAUAUGUUGUUAUUGGCAUGGAAGGCCAGGCCUAUAGUUCUCCUAUCUAUAGGGGCUCGCAGAAAGCACGUGGAGCUGGAGUCUCACCAACGCCUGGGAGAUGUGCCCCUGUCUCUCUUGUCUGAUUCCAGCCACAUGGAUAGCUUCCCUUCCCAUUUGGAUGCCCUUUCAAUGAUGCGUAUUUGAUGUGGGAAGCUUUAUAGAGGAAGCCUGGUGGCAUCUGUGAAACAUUAAGCACUCUUGCUUAUAGUGCAAUGAAUAUAGGCCUUUUGUUCAGAAUCCCCCUGGUUCUGGGAGGGGAACUGAUUCGUUACCUUCUUCUCGCGCCCCCCUCUGGCUUUGGGAAAGAAUGUUCAGGGCAUCUUGGUUGGUCCCUUUGAUUUGGCCUGUUCUCAGAGGGCGAAGACACUUGGCAUCACUGUCGGGAGCCUUGGGGGUUGCCGACCUGAUUGGAUUACUUGAAAUAACCUUGUGUGCUUGGUUAAGGGUGUGCUUUGUUGAAAAAGUGUUAUCUUUUGUUCUAAGAACUCAAAGAGGUUUUCCUGACCACCUCUCUCCCACCCCCACGAGCGGAAGAACUAUGGGUAACUGUUUCCAGAGUCCUCCCCUGUUGGUUAGAUAAUUGGGGUGGGGAUAUUAGUGGUGCAGUGUGUGCUUAAACAGUGUUUUCAGUGGAGAGAAUUCAAGUCAUAACGCAAGGGAGUCUCUCCCUGCCCUGGGAGGCUUUCGAAGCGUUUGGAAUGGAAUGGUUAAUGCCGCAAGUUGGGCCAUGGAACUGUUGCUGGGGCAACCUUAGCAUGAAGUUUCCGGCUCUUGUGCUUUUCUUUUUCAUCGGUGCUUUCUUUAUUUCUGUUGAGAGAAUGAGAAGAUGCUGGGGAAGAAAGGAGACUUUUAGGUGUGUGCUUUUGGGAACUCGGACUGAAGCGAACUGUGCUCUGAAGGGCACGCAGGGCUGGCGGGGAGCUGCCCUGGUGGGAGGCCCUUGUGAUGAGUGUGUGCCUGUUUUGUGGGGGUGGGGGUGGGGGGGUGGUUUCUGUCGUGAGCACCGUGUGCUUUGCCCCCUUGGUCCCCGCCGCACUGUGAUGCGCCCUGGCCGGUGUGGUGGGAAGCAUGAGGGGGCCUCUGCAGCAGAGCAGGUGCUCCCAGGAGGAGGCUGCAGCGUAUUCCUGCCUGGUCCCCUCAUUGCUCGGCAGGUGAUAACAAGACCCUGGGGCCGCCAGAGGACCACAGGACACCUUUCCUUUCCAGCUCUCUGCCAGUCUUCUCCUCCAGCUGCUAUAGCAAAAAGCGGUUUUGCCAGGAGCAGGCUUAAUUCUAAAUGUCCUGGUUUGUUUUUUUUUUUUUUUUCCCCCCUCCGGAGGGAAUGGCUGUACAAGCAAAAGCAUCUUCCUUUCUCACUCUGAAGUAUUUUUUCACUCAAAAUAAGUGAAAAAAUGGGUUGAAGGAGAUUUAUUUUCAGAAGAGAAAAGAAACAAAAAAUCUCCAGCUCUGCUCAAGGAUGUUGAAGCUGGGAUGAGCGAAGGGUUAGGGGAACAUGACAUUAGAAAUUGAUUAAAACAAACCAACAGACUGCCUUGUUUCAUCAUUAAUGGCUCAACUUAUGCUCUUUCCUUCCAUCACCCUGCAGAAUCCUGGUUACUGUUUUCUGGUUAUGGAACAAAACAAAAAUAAUGACUCUUUUGCCUUGACCCAGGCUCAGAGAUGAAACCAGAAGCCAAAUUGACCCUGUGUGAUGGCUGAUCAUUAGGCACAGAAGCAAACUCUGUUGAGAAGGCUCGUGUCUCCCUCAAGGACCGCUAGGCUGUGUGUUACCAGGGACCAGGAGUUACCAAGCUUCUGGCCCAAGUCCAGGUUGGAAGCCGUGAUGCCGUGUAGCCCGCCACCUCCAUCUGCUGCGGUGGAGAGCCAGCCAGCUUGCUGGGAGGGGCCCCCAUCUCUACAGUGACAGCUUCCAUGCCCUCGCUGCCUUGUCAUGAGCGUCCACCCUGGGAGAGUCCGCUGUGGUGAGAUGGGUGUGGAUGACAGCUGUGGGUGCCACCACGGCAGCUGCCGUCUGAUUGUGUGUCUGCCCUGGGGCAGCUGGGCGCAAGGCGGCCAAGCCACACUCACCAAGAAGUUUGAGUCACUGAAGUAACUGCAGGCAGCUGGGAAGUAACAGCUGUGAACAGAAAACCAGCUGUUCUCUGGAGGCUGUGCCAGCGUGGCCAGAGCAAGAGGAACAGAGCUGGGAACAGAAAAAUGUGCGGUAAUGCUAAAGCGAAAAGAGAAAUGCCUUCAUUUAAACAGAUGUAUAGAUGAUUCCCAGGGAGGAAAGACAUAACAUAGGGAGCACUUUGAAGAACUCACAUUAAAAUUAUGAAAUGCAGAUUGAGAUAUUCUGCUUAUAUGUAAAAAAGUUGUCUGUGUUUCUUAUAUGUGACUUGAAUGGUAUAAAAAAGCCAAAAAAGGAGUUCCCAUUGUGGCGCAGCGAAAAUGAAUCCGACUAGGAACCAUGAGGUUGCAGGUUCAAACCCUGGCCUCAAUCAGUGGGUUAAAGGAUCCGGUGUUGCUGUGAGCCGUGGUGUAGGUUGCAGACGUGGCUCAGAUCCUGUGUUGCUGUGGCUGUGGUGUAGGCCU